UACGUAGGUGGCAAGCGUUGUCCGGAUUUAUUGGGUUUAAAGGGUGCGUAGGUGGUCUAUUAAGUCAGUGCUGAAAUAUCCCGGCUUAACCGGGAGGGUGGCAUUGAUAUUGAUGGACUUGAAUGGAGUCGAGGUAGGCGGAAUUGACGGUGUAGCGGUGAAAUGCUUAGAUAUCGUCAAGAACACCUAUUGCGUAGGCAGCUUACUAGGCUCUAAUUGACACUGAGGCACGAAAAGUGUGGGGAUCAAACAGG
rnacentral:rRNA from 1 species